AGUCGAGCGGUAACAGGAAUUAGCUUGCUAAUUUGCUGACGAGCGGCGGACGGGUGAGUAACGCGUAGGAAUCUGCCUGGUAGUGGGGGACAACAUGUGGAAACGCAUGCUAAUACCGCAUACGCCCUACGGGGGAAAGGAGGGGAUCUUCGGACCUUUCGCUAUCAGAUGAGCCUGCGUGAGAUUAGCUAGUUGGUGGGGUAAAGGCUCACCAAGGCGACGAUCUCUAGCUGGUCUGAGAGGAUGAUCAGCCACACUGGGACUGAGACACGGCCCAGACUCCUACGGGAGGCAGCAGUGGGGAAUAUUGGACAAUGGGCGCAAGCCUGAUCCAGCCAUGCCGCGUGUGUGAAGAAGGCCUUCGGGUUGUAAAGCACUUUCAGAGGUGAGGAAGGGUGUGCCGUUAAUACCGGUAUGCUUUGACGUUAGCCUCAGAAGAAGCACCGGCUAACUCUGUGCCAGCAGCCGCGGUAAUACAGAGGGUGCGAGCGUUAAUCGGAAUUACUGGGCGUAAAGCGCGCGUAGGUGGUUUGUUAAGUCGGAUGUGAAAGCCCAGGGCUCAACCUUGGAAUUGCACCCGAUACUGGCAAGCUAGAGUACGGUAGAGGGGUGUGGAAUUUCCUGUGUAGCGGUGAAAUGCGUAGAUAUAGGAAGGAACAUCAGUGGCGAAGGCGACACCCUGGACCGAUACUGACACUGA
rnacentral:rRNA from 1 species